rnacentral:rRNA from 1 species
GACGAACGCUGGCGGCGUGCCUAAUACAUGCAAGUCGAGCGGAAUGAUGAAGAAGCUUGCUUCUUCUGAUUUUAGCGGCGGACGGGUGAGUAACACGUGGGCAACCUACCUUGUAGAUUGGGAUAACUCCGGGAAACCGGGGCUAAUACCGAAUAAUCCAUUUUGCUUCAUGGCGAGAUGUUGAAAGACGGUUUCGGCUGUCACUACAAGAUGGGCCCGCGGCGCAUUAGCUAGUUGGUAGGGUAAUGGCCUACCAAGGCGACGAUGCGUAGCCGACCUGAGAGGGUGAUCGGCCACACUGGGACUGAGACACGGCCCAGACUCCUACGGGAGGCAGCAGUAGGGAAUCUUCCACAAUGGACGAAAGUCUGAUGGAGCAACGCCGCGUGAGUGAAGAAGGUUUUCGGAUCGUAAAACUCUGUUGUAAGGGAAGAACACGUACGAGAGUAACUGCUCGUACCUUGACGGUACCUUAUUAGUAAGCCACGGCUAACUACGUG